rnacentral:rRNA from 1 species
GACGAACGCUGGCGGCGUGCCUAAUACAUGCAAGUAGAACGCACAGUUUAUACCGUAGCUUGCUACACCAUAGACUGUGAGUUGCGAACGGGUGAGUAACGCGUAGGUAACCUGCCUGGUAGCGGGGGAUAACUAUUGGAAACGAUAGCUAAUACCGCAUAAUAUUAAUUAUUGCAUGAUAAUUAAUUGAAAGGUGCAAUUGCACCACUACCAGAUGGACCUGCGUUGUAUUAGCUAGUAGGUGAGGUAACGGCUCACCUAGGCGACGAUACAUAGCCGACCUGAGAGGGUGAUCGGCCACACUGGGACUGAGACACGGCCCAGACUCCUACGGGAGGCAGCAGUAGGGAAUCUUCGGCAAUGGACGAAGGUCUGAACGAGCAACGCCGCGUGAGUGAAGAAGGUUUUCGGAUCGUAAAGCUCUGUUGUAAGAGAAGAACGGGUGUGAGAGUGGAAAGUUCACACUGUGACGGUAUCUUACCAGAAAGAGACGGCUAACUACGUG